CCAGACCAGAUUUAGUAACAUCUGGUUCCCUGACCCGGAGACCCAACCAUGCUGGCCCGUUGCUGCCACCGGUUUGGGAAAAUGGCGAGGUGGUGAUGGACCAAGGAGUCGCAACAGGAGAAGGCGCACCCUGCUGGGUAUUCAGCAGUCUCCAGCUCGGUCACCCCGGGCCGGCCUGCUCUGCUGUUCCCGCUGGACUCAGGGAGACUUGGCAGGAGAGGACCUGAACCUAUGUCGGGUACUGGUACCUCCCGGUUCCUGAUACUCCGCCACCUUCGGUCUCCCCAGCACCUCUGGCCUUGGCAGAUCCUCUCUCCCCUGGACCAGCAGCCAGAUUGGGCCCUCGGCCAGGCACAGGCGCUCUCCAGAUGCCGGUCCACAGCCGGCGGUACCAAGAGGCUCUCCCCUGGGGAUCCGAGCAGGGGCUAAGGGGCCCAUAAAUAUGCCCAGCAGCAAAAGGAUUCCCCCGGGAUUAUUAUGAGGGGCUAUGCAAGGCUUACACCCCUCUUGACCCCAAGGCACAAGACAGCCACGACAAAAGGACAGGGAAGGUCCAGCUGCUAAACGGGGAGGCCCAGAGCCUGCUUAGCAAGGGGUCAAUGAGCCUACUGCCAGGAGAAAAGUCCCAACCGGGGAAACCCCCAGAAACCCAGCCAAUAUGCACAGGAACCCUGCAAAGAAAGACCUCACAGGCAGACAUCCUGGGGACAUGGGGGCGUGGGCUCUAUGCCGGGUCAUGUGUGGUAACAGCACAGUGAUUCUAGGAAUGUCCUCCCUGUUGGGAGCUUCAUGCUGAACUAAGCUGUGAUGUUCGUAACUUAUUUUCAAGAGUUUUCACAGGAAAAAGAAAAUGAAGAGAGAAAGAAAAUAUAGCAUAAUUUUAACAAUUGGUGAAUGGUGGUGAAACGUUCAUGCAUGUUCAUUAUACAAUACUUUCAAAUUUUUGGUGACUUUGAAAUUUUUCAGAAUAAAAAGUUGGGAAAGA